UGGGGAAUAUUGCGCAAUGGGGGGAACCCUGACGCAGCAACGCCGCGUGGAGGAAGAAGGUCUUCGGAUUGUAAACUCCUGUCUUCCGGGACGAUAAUGACGGUACCGGAGGAGGAAGCCACGGCUAACUACGUGCCAGCAGCCGCGGUAGUACGUAGGUGGCGAGCGUUGUCCGGAAUUACUGGGCGUAAAGGGCGCGUAGGCGGAUUUUUAAGUCAGAUGUGAAAACCCAGGGCUUAACUCUGGGAGUGCAUUUGAAACUGGAGAGCUUGAGUGCAGGAGAGGUAAGUGGAAUUCCUAGUGUAGCGGUGAAAUGCGUAGAUAUUAGGAGGAACACCAGUGGCGAAGGCGACUUACUGGACUGUAACUGACGAUGAGGCGCGAAAGCGUGGGGAGCAAACAGG
rnacentral:rRNA from 2 species